rnacentral:tRNA from 1 species
GGGUGGGUCUCUGAAGGAAGAGGGAGUUAGCCGAUAACUAAUUCUAAGCUGGUUCGAUUCCAGUCCUGCCUU